GAUGAACGCUGGCGGCAUGCCGAAUACAUGCAAGUCGAACGAGAGGGAGGAAAGCUUGCUUUCCUGAAUCUAGUGGCGAACGGGUGAGUAACACGUAGGUAACCUGCCCAUGUGCCCGGGAUAACUUCUGGAAACGGAUGCUAAAACCGGAUAGGUAGCAGACAAGCAUUUGACUGCUAUUAAAGUGGCCUUGGCCAUGAACAUGGAUGGACCUGCGGUGCAUUAGCUAGUUGGUGAGGUAACGGCCCACCAAGGCGACGAUGCAUAGCCGGCCUGAGAGGGCGGACGGCCACAUUGGGACUGAGACACGGCCCAAACUCCUACGGGAGGCAGCAGUAGGGGAUUUUCGUCAAUGGGGGGAACCCUGAACGAGCAAUGCCGCGUGAGUGAGGAAGGUCUUCGGAUCGUAGAGCUCUGUUGUAAGAGAAAAACGGCACUCAUAGGGAAUGAUGAGUGAGUGAUGGUAUCUUACCAGAAAGUCACGGCUAACUACGUGCCAGCCGCCGCAGUAAAAC
rnacentral:rRNA from 1 species